ensembl:lncRNA
GCAGAGGUUGGUGCGGGCACGGUGCAGCACCGGCCCGGCCCCGGCGUUUUUGCACCGGGUUAUGGGACCGAGGGACUCGGGGAGUUCGGCUGCAGGCAAUAGGAGUUCGGCCGUCACGAUUUGCUGCAGGGGGUAGGAAGGAAGCCCCUGAGCUCCGAAGCUCGUCUCGAGGGAGUAAUAACGCGUUGGGGAGAGAGAAAUGCGGAGCAGAGUUUAAAGGCUGGAAAGGGAAAGAUCGAGCUUUGUGCAACAGCUGUGCUGAAAGUAUCCGCCAGAGCCCCGCGCACUUAGGGCUGGAGGAAGGUGGGUGAGAACUAAUAUCUCAAGUGACAUAAGAAGGGAGCAAACAUCCUGCCAAAACUGCGUCUCGUCCUGCGCCGCCCCCUCCCCCGAAAUACAGCGCCCACCCUUCCCCCCCCCCCCCCCCCGCCAAUUCUCAAGCAAAUAAAUCCAAAGGCAGGUCUCGCUGUCACUGGCCAGCAAGAAAAAAUUAAAAACUCGCUUUUCAUGAGCGCUGCCCGCCCUGGCAAGAGCAGGGAAGCAGCCCAGAGCCCCGGACAGGUGCCUUCAGCACAUCCACCCGCUCUCCCCGCCUCCGGGCGCCCGCGCCUGUUUUUCUCCAAAUGAAGUAUUUUACGUGAUCGAUGGAAGGAGUCAUUUGGCCCAUAAUUAGGUCAAUAAAAUCAAUGUUUAUUCCUCGGAUGGCCUGAAAGCUAAUAAAUUCCUCUUUUAUAUUCGCUCCCUCCCAAGAUUAGAAACGAGCUGCCCGGCCCCAGCGUCGGAGCGGAGCGCGGAGCCAUCCCCGAACGGCAGCCAUCGCCCCCCGCCCGGCGGCCGCAGGAGUCGCCCCCGAAGGCUGAGCUCCUUCUGCAACCACCCGCCCUCCUACCCCUCCACCCCGGUGCUGUUUGUUUUCCAGCACGGGACGUUUCACAGCGAAUACAGAUUUGCUCUAAAUCCCCUCCACAACGCGCGCUCCCCGCCUGUCUCGCAGAUCACUUCAUUUCGCUUGAUUCCCUUUGGAGUCCCCAAGGAAAAAAAAAAGAGAGAGAGACGGAGCGAGGCUUUUCACGAACACCAAAGGGAGGCUGGGAGGCGACUUGGAGAAAUCCUAUUAGAGAUCGGGAAGGCGAAGCUUUUUAAAAAGGUGGAAAAAGGAAAGCCACAUUUUUUAUUAUUGUACGCUCAGUAACAGCGAGGGAAAAGCACCCCGGUCCUAAUCAGAUCAAUAUAGAGACACACAAAUCUUUGCAAAGGUUCAGCAGUUUACAGUGGGUUCCAGACCUUUGACAUACAUUGCGGAUUAAUUGGGCACUGUUAAGGGGGGGUGGUGUGUGCGGGGGGGGAGGUGGGAUUCCAGUUAAUUAGUCGAGAAAUGAAUAAAAACUAAACAUUAUCGGAAUUGUCUGCGGGUCCCGGUUUGUUAGUGGGGAUUUGGGGAUCAGCUUUUGUGCGCCGUAAAUUGGAUCUGAGUAGCGUGGUGCUGUCUUACACUGCCGUUUUGUGAACUGGCGACAGCUCGAGUCCAUGGGAAAACUUAAAGGGAACCUGGGGCCGGUCACGGAGCCUCAUUAUCUCAUGUCGGAUACCAUCUUUAGUAGAGAGCGUGUAAUCAGCGGUGGCACACCACCAGCCCCUCACAACCUGCGCGAAGCCCACCUCCUUCCGCACACGCCCCGCGGCCGGGAGACGCCGGUCCCGGACCCAAAUGAAAAGCAACCGACCCCAGCCCGGUGGGGGGGAGGCCGCGCUCCGCGCUGGGAGGCCAAGAGCCCCCCCGCAGCCUCCCCCGUGCUCGUAGCUAAGGGCUCGGUCUCCGCGCUGCCUCCUCGGGCUGACCCCCGCCCCGCAGGAGCCGGGCCCCGCAUUCUUGGACGGGGAGGGCUGGCGGCGGCUGCUGCACGGCCGCGUUCUGCCAGCCGGUGCCUCCUCGCGCGGGGGUUAGCGGGGCCCUGCCGGGUUGUCAGCCCCGCUGGAAGGAGGCAGACGGGGAGUUUCCCUUCGCUCUCAGCAAGGUGAAUUCCCAAGCAGCCGCACUCCCUCCGCAGCCCGCCCCGAAGGUUCUCGGUUGGCAGGAAGGGGAAAGAAGGGGGAAAAAACAGAAAGAGAUGGAAAGGAACGGGGGAGCCGGGAGCAGCUUCUCUCGGCCGCCGAGGUGGAUUCUUUAAGGGGGAAACGCCUCGAGCACUGAGCCGAAAGUACCCCCGGCACCCCUUCCCUCCGGCAGCACCUCUCCCCACCCCCCGGAGCGUUGCCGGAGAGCAGAGAGGGGGAGCCCUCAGCCCACGGGAACUCCCCCGGCUGGGUCUCCCAGCUUACAAUUGGUGCUGGGACAGCCGAGAGGACGGACAGCCGAGACCGACAAACCCUCCGCUUCCCGUUCCCGCAGCUUUUUGGUGGGGAAGAGAGCGGAACGCAUCCACGCCGUGCCCCGGAGAUCCGCCGCCUUCCCAGGGCUCCGCUGCCGGGCCGGAGCCACCCGCGGGGCCGGAGCCACCCGGGG